GGUUCGGCUGAUGGAGAGGGUACUGGAGAAUUGCCACCUAGAGUCUGUAAGAACGGCAUCAGCACAACGCAGGAGCGAAGCAGCGGCCUUCUCUUGAUUUCUCUCCUGAAACACGCAUUCUGCUGGAACCCAUCUUUGAUGUUUAAGAUAUACUGGUUAUGCCAGGUAACGAAGCGGACCUCCUUCAGACCUCGGCAGCUGGCUUCUUCUAUUAACCGUACAACAGGCUCAGAAUAUUCUCUCCAGACGAAAUGGUCCCUGCAGAAGUACUUCCAGACCGUGUAGUAGUUGGAGCUGGAGCUGGGACAGGAUGGUGUGGACAGCCUCCGCAUUUGGUC
rnacentral:lncRNA from 1 species